AAGUUUAGGUUAACCAAACCAAAGGCCUUCAAAGCCUUAAACAAGAACCCCCAGCCUCUUAACUUCUG
rnacentral:tRNA from 1 species